GAACUGUUCCUUCUCCUGAAAGGAGCUGGACACAGAGACAAAAUCUUCGUAGUUGUUGGGUUCCUUUUGCCCUAUGCUCAGGAUCCAGGGGAACUCCCUGUGUGGCUGAGGUAGACUCAGGAUCCCAGUCAUUAUUGAUGAUUUUGCUCCUGGUAAUGGGUGGAGAAAGGAAAAGCAUCUGAAAGAAAAGUUUGUCCCCAAGAGGACUUCACUGUGGGAUGUUAAGUGGAUGAAAGGAAAAAAGUAGACCAUAAAGGAUUCAAAAACAGACAUCAAACCAAAGAUGUGAACAGGAUAGUCACUAGAAUUUUUCAAGUACCAAUAUAAUAGAUUCAUGUCCAUUCAAUGAAUUUAUUUCUGCUGUCAACUCCUUGAAAUUUUUUUUAAAAAGGGAAAAAAAUGUACUCAUGUGGAAAUGAGUCUUCAAAUAUAUUCAAGUUGAAGAGACUUGACCAAAUAAUGAAAGAAUAUCUAAAUGAUAUGAUCCAAAGCUUAUAGUUCAAGACGCAUCUUCUCUUGCCAGCUUCUUAACCAUUUUUCUCUACUCUGAAGCCUAUUUUUCAUGCCCUGGAGAUUAUAGUAAGUAACAUCAGGUUAGUUAGAAGUUUAUUUAUUCUAAUUUUUCCCAUAUUCUUAGCAUCUGUCACAAGCAGUGAUGAAAUUGUGUCUCUAUAAUCCUUGUCUUCCAACAGAGGGGAGUGUAUACACACAUGCCUCCACGCAAGGAAGAAGUGAGACCUAAUUCCUGAUGUGAGUCAAGGAGUGGUGUGUCCCCAUCACUUCAUGCGCAGAUUAUUUGCAGUGACGUCAAUAAAAUUAAAUCCAUGACUGGGCUGCUCUGAAAU
ensembl:lncRNA